rnacentral:misc_RNA from 1 species
AAGUCGUAACAAGGUUUCCGUAGGUGAACCUGCGGAAGGAUCAUUAACACGUAUCCAAACGUUAAACAACCCCGUGAACAGACAACCUGCUCUGGUCGCCCGCUCGCAUGGACAAGCCCACUGUGCGCGUGAAAAAACUGACAGCGAUUCAUAGAAGCGGGAGGGCAAGAAGUGACCAGUGAAUGAAAGUGUCGCUGGAGCGUCAAGGACGACUCUUCAAGAUUCGACCACCGACCGGCUUCCGUGUAUACUGAGCUUAAAAUCGCUUCCGAACCCCACUUUAUUGCCUUGUAGGCAUCCAUACGGAUGGGCAGGCCCCCCGAACAACUGUUAACAAUGGAUAUCUUGGUUCUC